AGAGUUUGAUCAUGGCUCAGAACGAACGCUGGCGGCGUGGAUUAGGCAUGCAAGUCGAACGGACAUUUAGCUUUUUCGAAUGUCAGUGGCGAAAGGGUGAGUAACACGUGGGAUACGUACCCUUAGGUUCGGGAUAACCAGUCGAAAGAUUGGCUAAUACCGGAUAAGUUCAUAUAUUUUCGAAUAUAUGAGGAAAGAUAGGGACCUCUUCGGAGGCCUGUCACCUUUGGAUCGGCCCGCGGCCUAUCAGCUAGUUGGUGAGGUAAUGGCUCACCAAGGCUAAGACGGGUAGCUGGACUGAGAGGUUGGUCAGCCACACUGGAACUGAGACACUGUCCAGACAUCUACGGAUGGCUGCAGUCGAGAAUCUUUCGCAAUGGGGGAAACCCUGACGAAGCGACGCCGCGUGGAGGAUGAAGGCCUUCGGGUUGUAAACUCCUGUCGGCUGGGAAGAAAAGUCUAUCAUUAAUAAUGGUAGAUCUUGACGGUACCAGCAAAGGAAGCCACGGCUAACUCUGUGCCAGCAGCCGCGGUAAUACAGAGGUGGCAAGCGUUGUUCGGAUUUAUUGGGCGUAAAGGGUCCGUAGGCGGUUUGGAAAGUCAGAUGUGAAAUCCCACAGCUCAACUGUGGAACUGCAUUUGAAACUUCCAGACUAGAGUAUGAGAGGGGUUAAGGGAAUUCCCGGUGUAAGGGUGAAAUCUGCAGAGAUCGGGAGGAACACCAAUCGCGAAGGCGCUUAACUGGCUCAUUACUGACGCUCAGGGACGAAAGCUAGGGUAGCAAACGGGAUUAGAUACCCCGGUAGUCCU
rnacentral:rRNA from 1 species